rnacentral:misc_RNA from 1 species
GAUGAAGAACGUAGCGAAAUGCGAUACUUGGUGUGAAUUGCAGAAUCCCGUGAACCAUCGAGUCUUUGAACGCAAGUUGCGCCCGAAGCCAUUAGGUCGAGGGCACGUCUGCCUGGGCGUCACAUAUCGUUGCCUGAUGCCAGUUUCCUCGUGAUGGGUGACUGUGCAGGGCGAAUGAUGGCUUCCCGUGAGCAUUGUUGCCUCAUGGUUGGUUGAAAAUUGAGUCCUUGGUAGGGAGCGCCGUGAUAGAUGGUGGUUGAGUGACGAACGAGACCCAAUCAUGUGAGACCCCUACCGAAUUUGGCCUUCAUGACCCACAUGCGUCUUUGGAACGCUCAUGACGAGACCUCAGGUCAGGCGGGGCUACCCGCUGAGUUUAAGCAUAUCAAUAAGCGGAGGA